CUUCUUCGAUCUGCUGCGGGCAGAUGAAGUGGAUGUGCGUAUCGAUGCCGCCUGCGGUAACGAUCAUGCCCUCGCCCGCGAUCACUUCCGUGCCCGGCCCCACGACGAUCGUCACACCGGGCUGGAUAUCGGGAUUGCCAGCCUUGCCGAUCGCCGCGAUCCGCCCGCCCUUGAGGCCGAUAUCGGCCUUGACGAUGCCCCAGUGGUCAACGAUCAGCGCGUUGGUAAUGACCGUAUCGACGCAGUCCUUCGCCAUGCGCUGGCUCUGGCCCAUGCCGUCGCGGAU
rfam:Ralstonia eutropha JMP134 chromosome 1, complete sequence.